rnacentral:lncRNA from 1 species
AUGCAGUCAGCGGGGGGUGGAGGUGCCUUGGAGGAGGCUCAGCAGCCGGAACAUGAAGGAAGGGGUGAGACACUGAACCUGCACGGAGGAGGGAGCUGGGCAAGUUUGCCACUGAGAAGGUCACGGCAUUGCGGGAGUAACCUGCAGUCCUUGUGCUUGAAUGUCAAGACUCAUGCAUCUGGGAAUGGGGACUGUCCUUCUCCCCUGUGGAAGCCGGAUGCCACUCAGUGGGAUCUCAGGACACACUCACUGAUGGACUGUGGGAUUUGUAUUUUUCAUGCUGUUUCAUUCCGUUUCUUCCAUUACCUAGUGGAGUCUUCCUGUUUUACAAAGAAGCUGAGGUUCAAGGUGAGUAAAUAGCUUGUCCAAGGUCAUUAAGCAAAUAGGAGGGCAGGCACUAAAAGUCCUGUCCUUGUGAGUCCAAAGUUUAUACUUUGUCUAUCACGGUUAUUUGCUGACUCAUAAUUUCAUUGUUUAUAAAAUGAAAAUUAAAACAAAUACCCUACUUAUCACAUCAGGUGGUUUCGAAGCCCUAACAGGAGGCAGUCUGUGUUGUGGUGAGGGCAGAAAACGCCGUAGGGCCGUGGGUUCUGGCGCUGGGCAAAGUCAGGUCAGAGCAGUUGAGUGUAGAAGUAGCCAGAACACAGCCACGCUGCUGUUUGCGGCUCUGUAGUUCACAUCUGCAUCUUGAGUAGCUGAGUGGCUACAUUGGCCAUGUUGAAAGGCAGGGCCACCAAGGGGGAGACCAGGUGGGAAGUGAGCCCAGAACGAGAACGAGGGAAGAGACAAAGGUGAAGUGCUGAAAGCUGGCUGAAGAUUGGGACGACCCCUAAUGAGGGUGGCUGCAAGUAACACAAGACAUCUCUGUAUUAAAUGAUAAAUGCAUUGUCUGUAGCUGUGCUAAAAUAAAUUGUGUAGUCAAUUUAACCAAGGGAAGUAGGUGGACCUAUGUCUGCCAAUGACUGGCUGCACCAACUUGGGGCAAGCGUUUUCAAUCUCUUGGGACCUCAGUUUCCAGAAUGGGUUUCUUGUGAGGACUAAAUAGAAUAAUACGUGUGAAGCACCCAGCAUUGUGUGUGAGGUACAGUAAAUCGUCAACAGUAAUGCUUAAUGCUGCGGUCCCCAAGGAUAUGUCCCUGCUGUCGGUCCAUGGGCUGUUGGGGGCCAGGUUGCGCUCCUUGUGAGAGUCUGGUGCCUGAUGAUUGGGGGUGGUGGUGCUGGU